UUCAUUUUCAAGAUAGGACAGAGUUAUGACGUUGAUUGAGCUGUCUUGCAACAAAGUUCUGAUAUGACAGAUAAAGUGACAGACUUGCGUCAGCUUUUAGAUUAUUUCAGACUUUCUUCUAAGCCUGUUUUAAGACCAUGGGAAGUAGGCAGCUCUCCACUAUCACGAUCACCAUCUCUAGAGAAGUCUGCAGACACAAAACAGCAUGAGAUUAAGAAGCCUAUUUUCGAUACACCUUCUCUAACAGACGCAAACAAAAACGAUGUUAAAGUCGAUGCAAAUACUACCGAAUGAUGAUGCGGAAAUUUGUUUGUCCGCGGCUGAAAUAUCCAUUACGAGAAAGAUUCUAAGGACCCAACUAUUGGUUUCCUCCCCAUUGAGUUGAAGUUUAGCGAAAGAACGGUGACUCUCCUCUGUAUUCGGUGGAAUCUUUCGAACACCUCCAUCUUCCAGAAAAUCUGUAAAAAGUAACAUGCGAUGGGCUUUAAUGCUACUUCCAAGAGUAAAAAAACAACUCUUCCAACUUUAGUAGCGGGUUCUCCGGUCAAUGUAAUAGCACGAUCGCAGAGUGACACUGGUAAAACGACAGCUUUCGUUUUGUCUAGUUUAGCAAGAACACAUUCGGAGUUACAUUACGACUAGGUUUUGAUAUUAGCACCUACUUAUUAGUUUGCCCUGUUGAUUGGCGAGGUGGCGAAAAACAAUGGCGCAAUUUUGCGAAGGGAUUGAAUUCCGAAUGGCUGUUAUAGGCUAGAACAUGCCAAGAGGUUCGACAAUGAUGGAGCAUUUUGUGAUCGGAACGCCUGUAAAAGUGUUUCAUUGGACUGGGGGAAAGCGAUUUUUCGAUUUGAAGAAGCUGGGAAUUUUCGUUUUGGAUGAAGCUGAUGUCAUGAUUUCGACUUAAGGGCAUCAUGAUCAAUGUUUAUGCAAUUACCGCAUCGUGUCUAAAAGUUGUCAAAUGAUGCUGUUUUCUGCCCCUUGCUCCCCUAAUGUGUUUUGCAGGAAUAAUUAUAACUGAACCCUCCUGCAGCUGAAGACGGAACAAUGGAGGCUAGAAAAUGUCAAGCAGCUCUGUGUCAUGUGUUACACCAACGAAGGCAAAUAUUCAGAUUUGUCCAAUACCUAUGGUUUACUAUCACUCAGUCAGGCUAUUAUAUUUUACCGAACAGGAAGACCUGCAUCUUGGUUGCCCAGCCGACUGCCCUGACGAAUAUUCCGUUUGUUAUUUAUCCGGAGAAUUAGAGCUCAAUCAAUGACUGGGUGACAUGACUUGCUUCGAAGAACGGAAAGAAACGAUAUUUUGUGGAACCAUGUAAGGUUUGUCUGGCGUAGAAAAAAAGAGUUGUAAUAUUGCUUUUAUGAUGGAAAUUGAAAAAAAAAUUGCAAAUGUAAAUGAAUAAAGUUCUA